GGACAUCAUAUUUUUCAGAUAGGGCUCAACUCCAUCACCAUCAUUUUGGGAUGAUGUGAGGUAUAUUUGAUGCUAUCUAAGCAUAACACCAUAUACGGGCAUAUUUUUUUAGUGAACUUAUAAAUAGCCCAAGUGUUCUAAGAUAUGCGGACUCAGGAAAUCUCUAUGGUCGCUUACUGGAAAAAGCUAGUCAUGAAGUUUUCAGGGGGAGAUAUUCAUCAGGGGGAGCAUGGUAUUAAUAAAGACUUUCAUACACUAUUGACUCACAGCAGCAGUGUCAACUAUGAUAUUCAGACAGAUGAUCAACAGUAUGGCUUAAAGAUAUUUUGCCAAACAUCAGGGGGAGCGUGCUGUCAAUACAGACCCUUACACACGGUACUCUUUUUCCUUCGUCCAGAUUUUUAUCCCACUGGGUUUUUCCUGGCAAGGUUUUAACGAGGCAGUGUCGCACGCGCGUCAAUAUACACAGAAUUUUAUGUUACAUGUGAUUAUGUACUCUUUUUCCCUUCGACCAGUUUUU
rnacentral:lncRNA from 1 species